rnacentral:rRNA from 1 species
GAGCGGCGGACGGGUGAGUAACGCGUGGGUAACCUGCCUCAUACAGGGGGAUAACAGUUAGAAAUGACUGCUAAUACCGCAUAAGACCACGGUACCGCAUGGUACAGUGGUAAAAACUCCGGUGGUAUGAGAUGGACCCGCGUCUGAUUAGGUAGUUGGUGGGGUAACGGCCUACCAAGCCGACGAUCGGUAGCCGGACUGAGAGGUUGAACGGCCACAUUGGGACUGAGACACGGCCCAGACUCCUACGGGAGGCAGCAGUGGGGAAUAUUGCACAAUGGGGGAAACCCUGAUGCAGCGACGCCGCGUGGAGGAAGAAGGUCUUCGGAUUGUAAACUCCUGUUGUUGAGGAAGAUAAUGACGGUACUCAACAAGGAAGUGACGGCUAACUACGUGCCAGCAGCCGCGGUAAAACGUAGGUCACAAGCGUUGUCCGGAAUUACUGGGUGUAAAGGGAGCGCAGGCGGGAAGACAAGUUGGAAGUGAAAUCCAUGGGCUCAACCCAUGAACUGCUUUCAAAACUGUUUUUCUUGAGUAGUGCAGAGGUAGGCGGAAUUCCCGGUGUAGCGGUGGAAUGCGUAGAUAUCGGGAGGAACACCAGUGGCGAAGGCGGCCUACUGGGCACCAACUGACGCUGAGGCUCGAAAGUGUGGGUAGCAAACAGGAUUAGAUACCCUGGUAGUCCACACUGUAAACGAUGAUUACUAGGUGUUGGAGGAUUGACCCCUUCAGUGCCGCAGUUAACACAAUAAGUAAUCCACCUGGGGAGUACGCCCGCAAGGUUGAAACUCAAAGGAAUUGACGGGGACCCGCACAAGCGGUGGAGCAUGUGGUUUAAUUUGAAGCAACGCGAAGAACCUUACCUGCUCUUGACAUCCCAUUCGAUAGAAGGUAAUGCUUCUAGCCCUUCGGGGGAAUGGAGACAGGUGGUGCAUGGUUGUCGUCAGCUCGUGUCGUGAGAUGUUGGGUUAAGUCCCGCAACGAGCGCAACCCUUAUUGUCAGUAGUCAGCAGGUGAAGCUGGGCACUCUGAUGAGACUGCCGGGGAUAACCCGGAGGAAGGUGGGGAUGACGUCAAAUCAUCAUGCCCCUUAUGAGCAGGGCUACACACGUGCUACAAUGGCGUAAACAGAGGGAAGCGAAGGAGUGAUCUGGAGCAAAUCUCAAAAAUAACGUCUCAGUUCGGAUUGUAGUCUGCAACUCGACUACAUGAAGCUGGAAUCGCUAGUAAUCGCAGAUCAGAAUGCUGCGGUGAAUACGUUCCCGGGUCUUGCACUCACCGCCCGUCA